GCUGGAGCAGGGCUUGCAGGGGAUUGCUGGCCUUCAGUGUGUGAGGUCUUUGGCCUUUUUCUACGUGAACAUCAAGGUUAAUCUAUGUGGACUUGGCCUUCUGUUGGAGCAAGUUAUUGCAAUGCUGUUGGAGGAGCAUGAGGUUCUUAGCACUUCUUAGCUUCAGAUAUCAAGGGAGAUUCUUGUCCAACAACAACAGAAAAUAGAGCCCAGCCAUUUUUGUCAUCAAGAUUGCCAGGGUCGCAUGAUCUCAAUGGCAAUGCUCACACUUGCUAGAAAUUUGGAUUCAUAAGCUUUUGAGUUAAACAGGGUCUGAGAAUCCUUAAAGCUAACUCCUCUCUGUUUCAGAGGUGCAAACUGCUAAUGAGAAAGAUGCCAAUCUGGUUCUUAUUCUUUUUUUUUUUUUUUUUUGAGAUGGAGUCUUUGUUGUCCAGGCUGGAAUGCAGUGGUGUGAUCUCAUCUCACUGCAACCUCCACCUCCUGGGUUCAAGUGAUUCUCCUGCCUCAGCCUCUGGAGUAGUUGGGAUUACAGGUGCCUGCCUCCACACCCAGCUAACUUUUGUAUUUUUAAUAGGACGGGGUUUUGUCAUGUUGGCCAAGCUGGUCUCAAACUCCUGACUUCAAGUCAUCUACCUGCCUUGGCCUCCCAAAGUUGGUUCUUAUUCUUUUGUUGUUUAUUUGUUUCUUGUUUCUCUCUGAGAGUGUUUAGGAUCUCCUUAGAUUGUUGGUGCUCUGAAAUUCCAAGAGGUUAUUUCUAUGGAUCACUCUUUGUUCAUUGUGCUCAGUGCUUGGGGUCUUUCAAUCCAAAGCUUAUAUCUUUCUUCAAC
rnacentral:lncRNA from 1 species